rnacentral:lncRNA from 1 species
UAUCACCCCAACUACUUGGGUUGUUUUCUCUUACAACAUCCUGCAAAGUCUAGCACAUAAAAGCCCAGGCCAUGACAGCAGUAGUAACCUCAUGCGGACCAGAGGAACGUAGACUCUCGCUUCAAUACUACCGAGUGAAAGAACAUCAUGUUCUCAUUGGCGUAUGCAUCUCUACUGGUUUCUGCUUCUGUGCUACUGGUGCAAGGGGGUGUGAUCUCCACAACCAUUUGCGAGUUGCAAGGUAAAACAUACCGUGACCAAGAGAGAUUCCAGCCCGAGCCAUGUAUGUCCUGUAUAUGUGACAAUGGAAUCAGCAAGUGUGUUACGGCCCCCUGCGCCCCGGUGAAAGGCUGUCCCUUUCCAGAGGUCGUCCCUAAAGGCAAAUGCUGCCCUGUCUGCCCAUGGUUUGUACAUUCACAGAUGGAAUCCUUUCCAAAUGUUCCUAAAGCCCUCAACUCCGGACGAAGGGGUUGGGAGUGACCCUACAAGAUGGAUGGAACUAUAAUGAGUGCAGCCAUCUUGUGUUUCUACAUCAUGCAUUGCAUUUGAAUUCAUUACAAAUUCCAUGAAGUAUGUUGAAUAAACGAAUCUGACUAGACUCCCA